GGGCUUGUAGCUCAGUUGGGAGAGCGUUCGGUUCGCAUCCGAAAGGUCGUGGGUUCAAAUCCCUUCAAGUCCACCA
rnacentral:tRNA from 1 species